rnacentral:lncRNA from 1 species
UUGUAUAAAACACUCGAAAUCUGUAGGGCAGCCCUUCGUCUUUACUUCUUCUUCUUAGUACUAUGGAGGCUAUAGCUUUGUUACUUGGACAGUUGCUCGUUCUCUUAAAUAACGUAUAUGUGCUACGUCAUACAUCACGUGACAUUUCUAUACUGGUUAAAAAACUUCCGUUUGCCGUACAAGACAUCUCUUAGAAGUUUGUUUGUAAAACUUUCGAGUAAAUUAAAUUCUGUACUGUUACAUGUUCCUAACAAAUUUUGUCGCAAAAAAAUAACCGUUAUCAGGCCUAAAUUCGCAGCAAUUAUAAUCCCUAUCACAUAAAGUCUCGACAUCAUCUUCUCCAUUGCUAUCUUUUACUUCGAU